UAAAAUACGAAGGCCGUUUCGCGGCUGGACUAUUUAUUACCCUGUUCUUUUGCGCACUUGUUGUUUCCUGGGCGGGUUCGCUCGCCACCAGGACCACAAUAUAAACCUUUUUUAUGCAGUUGCAAUCAGCGUCAGUAUAACAAAUGUAAAUCAUUUACAACUUUCAACAACGGAUCUCUUGGUUCUGGCAUCGAUGAAGAACGCAGCGAAAUGCGAUACGUAGUGUGAAUUGCAGAAUUCAGUGAAUCAUCGAAUCUUUGAACGCACAUUGCGCCCUUUGGUAUUCCAAAGGGCAUGCCUGUUCGAGCGUCAUUUGUACCCUCAAGCUUUGCUUGGUGUUGGGCGUUUUUGUCUUUGGCCCGCCAAAGACUCGCCUUAAAAUGAUUGGCAGCCGGCCUACUGGUUUCGCAGCGCAGCACAUUUUUGCGCUUGCAAUCAGCAAAAGAGGACGGCAAUCCAUCAAGACUCCUUCUCACGUUUGACCUCGGAUCAGGUAGGGAUACCCGCUGAACUUAAGCAUAUCAAUAAGCGGAGGA
rnacentral:rRNA from 1 species